rnacentral:rRNA from 1 species
GGCGAUCAGAUACCGCCCUAGUUCUAACCGUAAACGAUGACAACCAGCGAUUAAUCGGCGUUAAUAUAUGACCCGAUUAGCAGCUUCCGGGAAACCAAAGUUUUUCGUUUCCGGGGGAAGUAUGGUUGCAAAGCUGAAACUUAAAGGAAUUGACGGAAGGGCACCACCAGGAGUGGAGCCUGCGGCUUAAUUUGACUCAACACGGGAAAACUCACCCGGCCCGGACACCGUAAGGAUUGACAGACUGAGAGCUCUUUCUUAAUUCGGUGGGUGGUGGUGCAUGGCCGUUCUUAGUUGGUGGAGCGAUUUGUCUGGUUAAUUCCGAUAACGAACGAGACUCUGGCCUAUUAAAUAGACGAUAUAUUUCAAAGUAUAUCGCGCUUCUUAGAGGGACAAGCGGCGUCUAGCCGCAUGAAAUAGAGCAAUAACAGGUCUGUGAUGCCCUUAGAUGUCCGGGGCUGCACGCGCGCUACACUGAAAGAAUCAGAGUGCGUUAUACCUAGUUCGGAAGAACCGGGUAACCCAAGUAAAUUCUUUCGUGCUUGGGAUAGGGAAUUGCAAUUAUUUCCCUUAAACGAGGAAUUCCCAGUAAAUGCGGGUCAUAAGCUCGCGUUGAUUACGUCCCUGCCCUUUGUA